rnacentral:rRNA from 1 species
GUAACAAGGUUUCCGUAGGUGAACCUGCGGAAGGAUCAUUAAAGAAGAUAAGGCCUUCGGGCCCUAUUCUCACCCUUUGUAUACCUAACUUUGUUGCUUUGGCGGAAACGUCAGAGGACCGAAACCCUUGAAUCUCUGCUGUCUGAGUACUAUAUAAUAGUUAAAACUUUCAACAACGGAUCUCUUGGUUCUGGCAUCGAUGAAGAACGCAGCGAAAUGCGAUAAGUAAUGUGAAUUGCAGAAUUCAGUGAAUCAUCGAAUCUUUGAACGCACAUUGCGCCCUCUGGUAUUCCGGGGGGCAUGCCUGUUCGAGCGUCAUUACAACCCUCAAGCUCUGCUUGGUAUUGGGCUCGCCUCCGGGCUUGCCUCAAAAUCAGUGGCGGCACCGUCUGACCUUAAGCGCAGUAAUACUCGUCGCUUGUAGAAUCAGUCGAAGGCCUGUCAGUAAACCCCCACCAUAUUAGGUUGACCUCGGAUCAGGUAGGGAUACCCGCUGAACUUAAGCAUAUCAA